rnacentral:rRNA from 1 species
UACGUAGGGCGCAAGCGUUGUCCGGAAUUAUUGGGCGUAAAGAGCUCGUAGGCGGUUUGUCGCGUCUGCUGUGAAAACUCGAGGCUCAACCUCGGGCUUGCAGUGGGUACGGGCAGACUAGAGUGCGGUAGGGGUGACUGGAAUUCCUGGUGUAGCGGUGAAAUGCGCAGAUAUCAGGAGGAACACCGAUGGCGAAGGCAGGUUACUGGGCAGUUACUGACGCUGAGGAGCGAAAGCAUGGGUAGCGAACAGG